rnacentral:lncRNA from 1 species
GAGAGGCCAAAGACAAUCCCUCUGCUCUUUGACGAAGAGGACACACGGCCCAGAGGGGCGCAAGAGCCCUGCACCUGGGUGAGUGCGAACCCAGUGAGGGGGGAGGCCGCCUAGCCCCACGCAGGGGCCUGGGCGUGCAGGAGCCCGCAUUGAGUGCGCCUGCCCAUGGCCACAGAGCCGCUGGCGGCCUGUGAGAGACCGUGUGGAGGCCGCUCUCUGGCCCUCACGUGUGAGGGAGGACUGGACGGUUCCUGGCUCUUGCACUGCCAGCUGUGGCCCUGCCUCGGCACCAACACCAGGUGGAGGGUUGGACGCUCACUGCUGUUGUGGGGGGCUGGAGUCCUGUGCCCUGGUGCCACCCAUGGGGAAAGGCCUCUCUGCUCCAUCCCUGGAAAUCCAGACACAUGUCUUGACUUAUAUCCUGAGAGAUAAGAACUGGUGUGGGGUGGGAAAAGGAAAUGGCUUAGACACAUCUGCCCCGUAGACAGGAGACUGCCUGCCCGUGGGUGGCUCUGCCCUUGAGCUUCAGGUCCUGCAGAGUGGUGGGAGCCUGCAGCACCCGUGCCAGGCCAGGGGAGGUGCCCGCUGUGCACUCCUCUCACACACACCUCCGUGGCUUCUUCCCCCCCGUAGAAGUGACGAGGACAAAUAGCUCCAGGUCCCUGAAACUGGAAACUGUCACUCAUUCCUCUGAAAACAACUUGCGAUCUCUCAUGUGAGGUGUGUGAGAGAGCACGGUGUUCUGUGUGUGCCUGUGCACCUGGAGACCGGGCACGCGCCUGCUGAGGGGGGCUGGCUGUAGGCAGCGUCAGAAACAAGCAGACCCUGGCUUCAGGACGCAGAGAAGACCCCACACUUGGCUGAGGCCUGUGGAAUCCCCUGCCGGCGCUGGUUGGGUUUCCCGGCCAGGAGAUUCCUAGCCCUUGAUCAGAGUCCCCAGAGGCUGGCCCGAGGGCACAGGGUUUCCAGCAGGUCUCCACUGUGGUCUGGCCUGGUCCCCAGACGCCUGGCUAGGCCCGUGCACCUGGCAGCUCACAGCCUGAUUGGGAGCCAAGCUGUAUUCCUUAGCUCUCCGCGUCCUUCUGGAAUGGGUGGGUCCAGGAGAAGAUGCUUUGACUGAAAACCAGGAGGCCUUCUGCAGGCCUGCUUUUGGAUUGUGUACCUCUUUGAUUUUGAGAGGAGGUCAGUGGCCAUGAACCCACAAUUAAGCAAAACUAUUAGAAAAGGGGACAUAAUGGAGGCCCCCCUUCCUCCACCUGCAGAGACAGCGUCGUUAAUAAUACUGUGACUGUUGCCUAAUGGAGGGGGGUUUGCAUGGCCUUCCUAGUGGAUGCAGCUGGGCAGCCGCAGGCUCUUUGCUGUCUGGUUUUAACUUGCUCUGUGUGUGUGUCUGUGUGUGUGUGUGUGUGUGCACGCGCGCGAGCAUGCACACAUGUGUACACUUUCUUUUUGAGACUAAAAUUCACUGCAGGACUAUGCCCGCUUGCCCCGGCCUCGGUGCCUUGCUUGACUGGAUUCCAGCCUGUCCUGAGCAGACUGCAGCCUCUGCCUUGCCUCUCCUCGGGCACCCAGGCUCUCGGCCUCUGCACGUGGAACUCUGGGUCUGAGCCCCAGCUCUGCUGCAAACGUGGUAUCACGGCACUUUGUGAGGGCAGAGCCUCUGCUCCUCUGGACUCUGUCCAGCUGUGCCGCUGCUCUCCGUGGGAACUGUGACAGCAGGCCCUGCCCUGUCCUGCCCUGCAGGAGUGGACACUGACAAGGUGUGCACAGUAGCACCUUGCAUCUCUCCCUUUCUGUCCUUGGCGGCAUGCUAGACCAAGGGGGCAGUAGUAGCCAAGGCUCAGGCCAGCAGCAGAGCUGUGGAGGAGGGGCCCUGGGGCUCUGGGGCUCCUUUCAUCUUAUCUGCAGGCCUCUCUGUCCAGCCACGGCCCAGGUUUAUGAGUCCUCCUGUCCCUAGGGCUUCUUGUGGCUCUAGGUCUCCUGAGGAGUAGACACGGAGGAGCUCUGCACCAGGGCAGCUCAGGGAAGAGGCUGGGUCAUCACUUCUGCUGGUUCAGCCUUCCUGGGAGAGAUUUCUCCUAAAGAAGGAAUCGGAGUCUGAGGGUGGAGAGAGAAAG